GACGAACGCUGGCGGCGUGCUUAACACAUGCAAGUCGAACGGAAAGGCCCUGCUUUUGUGGGGUGCUCGAGUGGCGAACGGGGGAGUAACACGUGAGUAACCUGCCCUUGACUUUGGGAUAACUUCAGGAAACUGGGGCUAAUACCGGAUAGGAGCUCCUGCUGCAUGGUGGGGGUUGGAAAGUUUCGGCGGUUGGGGAUGGACUCGCGGCUUAUCAGCUUGUUGGUGGGGUAGUGGCUUACCAAGGCUUUGACGGGUAGCCGGCCCGAGAGGGUGACCGGCCACAUUGGGACUGAGAUACGGCCCAGACUCCUACGGGAGGCAGCAGUGGGGAAUAUUGCACAAUGGGCGGAAGCCUGAUGCAGCAACGCCGCGUGCGGGAUGACGGCCUUCGGGUUGUAAACCGCUUUCGCCUGUGACGAAGCGUGAGUGACGGUAAUGGGUAAAGAAGCACCGGCUAACUACGUG
rnacentral:rRNA from 1 species